AUCACCUCUCAGUGUUUUGGCUAAGAUCAAGUGUAGUAUCUGUUCUUAUAAGUUUAAUAUCUGAUAUGUCCUCUAUCUGAGGAUACUAUAUUAAAUGGGUUUUUGGAGCAGGGAGAUGGGAUAGGAGCUUACUCUGUCCACUCCAGGUAUUGCAGUACCUCCAGGAAUGGUGCACCCUCU
ensembl:snRNA U2 U2 spliceosomal RNA